CCUACGGGAGGCAGCAGUGAGGAAUAUUUGUCAAUGGGCGGAAGCCUGAACCAGCCAAGCAGCGUGCAGGAUGACGGCCCUUCGGGUUGUAAACUGCUUUUAUACGGGAAUAACGCGCCUUACGUGUAGGGCUUUGCAUGUACCGUAUGAAUAAGGACCGGCUAAUUCCGUGCCAGCAGCCGCGGGAAGACGGAAGGUCCGGGCGUUUUCCGGAUUUAUUGGGUGUAAAGGGAGGGUAGGGGGCAUGUCAAGCGUGCUGUGAAAUGUCCGGGCUCAACCCGGGACUUGCAGCGGGGACUGGGGUGCUUGAGUGCGCGGAAGGCAGGCGGAAUUCGUGGUGGAGCGGUGAAAUGCUUAGAUAUGACGAAGAACCCCGAUUGCGAAGGCAGCUUGCUGCAGCGGAACUGACGCUGAUGCUCGAAAGCGCGGGUAUCGAACAGGAUUAGAUACCCCUGUAGUC
rnacentral:rRNA from 1 species